rnacentral:lncRNA from 1 species
GAACAGCUCCUCCAUCCACACUCUGUUCAGCGGCCAGGGAGGGACAGCAGCACCCUGGGCCAUCCUGCCCAGGGGCUCGCGGCUCGCUUUGAACACCCCAGACCUGGGCUGAAGAUCAGGCAGCAGCUCCCAGCAAUGUAGAAUGUGUGGAAGGUUCCAGAACACCCAAGCAUCAGCACCCUGUCCUGUUAGACGUCACCCAGAACCCAGACUUGGAGGUGAAGUCGGGCUCCUCCCGGUGCUGGCCGACUUCUGGGUCGCAGCUCUCUGGUCAGGCAGCAGACCCAGCCUCUGUCCAGUGACUUCUCUCCGGUUUCUUGUCUGGUCAGUUCAAAGAAUGAAGCCCACGGACGAGGGAGGUGGACAGAAGCAGGUGGCAGGGGAAGCUGCAGAGCCCUGUCAGGUGAGGGGCUCCAUGGCAGGUCACACCCAGGAUGCUGAUCAGGGGCCCACAUGGUGACCAGCAGGGCCACUGGCCAUCUGUGCUAAGUAGGCCGUGGA